UUUCCAGCCAGGCUCCUGGCUGAAAUCCAGCUCUUAGCUGGAUUUAGCCAAAGCCUGGCUGGAAA
rfam:Mesocricetus auratus contig191298, whole genome shotgun sequence.